AACGCGAAGAACCUUACCAAGGUUUGACAUGCAGGGAAAAGCCGUAGAGAUACGGUGUCCGUAAGGGUCCUGCACAGGUGGUGCAUGGCUGUCGUCAGCUCGUGUCGUGAGAUGUUGGGUUAAGUCCCGCAACGAGCGCAACCCUCGUCCUAUGUUGCCAGCGGGUAAUGCCGGGGACUCAUAGGAGACUGCCGGGGUCAACUCGGAGGAAGGUGGGGAUGACGUCAAGUCCUCAUGCCCCUUAUGUCUUGGGCUGCAAACAUGCUACAAUGGCCGGUACAAAGGGUUGCGAGACCGCAAGGUGGAGCGAAUCCCAAAAAGCCGGUCUCAGUUCGGAUUGGGGUCUGCAACUCGACCCCAUGAAGUCGGAGUCGCUAGUAAUCGCAGAUCAGCAACGCUGCGGUGAAUACGUUCCCGGGCCUUGUACACACCGAGACGAC
rnacentral:rRNA from 1 species